GUGACAGAACGUGACAACGUGUCGGAGCAGAACACUUCAGACACAUUACCUCCACUUCCACAUGUUAAAAUACCCCCUGUGAACUAAUCUGCAGCGGUGUGAGGACGAGAAAUGUCAUUAAAAUGUCAGUCUAAAUGUCACCGUCAUUACUGCACUUGAACCUAAUUCGACAAAAGACAUAAUGAACAAUGAGGAAUAUAAUAAAAAGAAGGUUUUUCAGCCUCUCAGGCAUCAGCGCUGUGAUUUCCAGAUGAACCCAUUAUCCUGAUUGUUACUCUUUGACUCCUCGACUCAGUUUAUAUUUAAAACAGUCAUUUUUGAAUUAAACGUAUAUAAAAUAAAUUCACUUGGACAGUAGCAUUUCUGGGAAUAUUUAUCCAGCGUAAAUCCCCAACCGCCAUAUGAUCAGUGUUUGUUGCCGCUACCUGGGUUUACAUGAAACACGGCUUGCAACUUCUUUUAAUACGUUUUAUCUUCUCUUUUUGUGAAUUAUGUGUCUGUAUUGGGUAGCGGCUGUGAAAUUCACAGUUCUGCUGCAUCAGAACAAGAUAUUUAACUUUUGCUGGGAUGCUUAAAGUUAUAGCUAUAAUUAGGAGAAUAAAAGUCAUAAUUACCACAAUAAAACUCAUAAUUUGUAGCAUAAAUGUCAAUUACCAGAAUAAGUCAUAAUUAGUAACCUAAAAGUGAUAAAUAUCAGAAUAAAUGUCAGAACCUCGUUUGAUUUUUCUAAAUUAUGGAGAAAAAUUAGGUUUCUGCAAUAACAUAGUUAUACAGGGAGUCAUAUUUAAAACAUAAUGUUUUUGAAAGUUUUCUAAACUACUAGGCUCACAUUUUUUUUUACAUUUCCCACUUUUUAUGCUACAGAAAGUCAUGAAAAAGCACCAGAAUACCAAAAUACAUAUGAUAGCUUAACAAAGCCCCAGAUUUGAAGGGCUUAACGCUGGAAACCCUCUUUCAUAAAAUCUCUUCACUCACUAAACCUACUUUUAGUCAAAAGCAGAGGAAUGGACAAUCUGACAAGGUCGAUGGUUUCUCCAUCAGAGGUAUUCCACACUUAUCCGUGUUUUUAAAACCCGACUGAAGAGCUUCAUUGUGCUGUCGGCGCUCGCCGCUCGCCCUGAUGUGAGUGUUUCAGCCUCCAUAUUUUAUGUCAAUGUCACCCUCAUAUUUCCAAGUCUAAUUUGGCCAGGGGCAGUCAUUCCUGCUGCUGUGUGGCGCGGCGUUACGCUCACCUGCAGAAUCUCAUUUCCUGUGUUUCCUGAUGGCGAAAGGCAGAGAUUAAAACCUUUUCUUCUGAAUUAAUUUUCCAAGUAGCCUGUGCUUUUGUCAACAGUGUUUUUAGCGUGAACUUAUGCAGACAUGUUACAAUAACAUGACCUCUUAACAUUUUCUGCAAGUCAAGAGCAGAGAUGGGUAGAGCAGCCUAAGAUUGGACUGAAGUAAAAGUGGCACUACUUAAAUUACUCAAGUAAAAGUAAAACGCAGCAGAAGACGGAAAAAGUAUUCGGCAAAAAGUCUACUCAAGUACUGAGUGACGGAUGAACUUAUCAGUCAUUUGAUAUUUAAAAAUUACACAAUCAGAUGGACCAAAACAUAAAGUUGAGUGUAAAUUUAGUUAUUUUAAAGACCAAAGUGAAAAUAAUUUGUAUAGACCCUUUGCAGAGCGACGUCCUGCUGGAGGGAAAAAGUUGCUACCUGAUGAUGACUAGCAUUGGUUUUAGCUGUUAAGUUGUCAAUAUAAAGUGCAAAAUCUUAAUAUGUACGCCUGACAGAAAAGAAAAAGUGAAGCAGUGCUUUGCUACUAAUUGUCAACACUAUCACAACUAGACAACAAAGUCAAGAUAAAGUCUUAGUUAAGAAAAAAAUAGGGAGGCAGAGGGAAGCAGUUCAGUUACGCUAGCUUGACUAUGACAACCUGAACAUCUGAUGUGGUGUGGAAUUUGUUUGUGUUAUGUUCAGUUAAAAUAUAUAUAAAAAAGUCCAUCUAAACACCAACUCUGACAGAUCAUCAGUAGAUUUUUUCCUUUUUUCUGUGGCGCACAGCACUAAAUUAACAAUACCGUCAUUUUAAGAAUCGCAAUAAAAUUACUCAAGUAAAAGUAAAAAGUACAGUGCAGUAAAAAUACUCCAAAAGUAUUUUUACCCAAAAAGGUUACUCAAGUAGAUAUAAGUAGUUACUACCCAGCUCUGGUCAAGAAUGAAAUGCUCUUAUAG